GUUUUAUCCCCUGUACUGACUACGAUUAUUCCUGGCAAACACACUUUGAGAAGCUGAAGGUACUACUGCGUUUACUACAUUAAGGAACAGUGCUGGUUUACACUGAAGAGGAUGCGGACAAGGACGUGGAUCAAAAUGAGGAUUCAUUACCUUGAAGCAGCUACUUUGAGAUGACAUCUCUGUGGUCCUUCAGGAUGGGUGCAGGUCCGAGCAGACUCCGUUGGCAGGGCAGCAGCUGCAGUAAACUUUCUGAGCACGAGUUUCUUGGGGGGAACUUGAGAGAAAACGUGCAUGAAGUCUCCCCACGUUCACAGCUGAUGAUUUGCAAAGCUAUAGUCUUCCUCCUCAGUAAAUACGCUCAUUCAGUAUGAUCGACAGAACUUGUGGCAUCGUCCUGACUGUCAUUUUUUUGUCAAAUAUUAACAAGGGAGAGUUUAAAAAAGUAUCCAAAGGUAGGGAGGGAAAAAAGUUACAAACUGUACUGCUGGUUCAAGUUUCUUCAGGCAUCACUGGUGUACAACUGUGAGAUAAUGCGUUAUAAUUGUUAUUUGUAGCAUGGGGCCACCCUGUGCUGCUUCCUGUAGCGUGUCCAUUUGGAAGAGGCUUUUAAAACCGGCAGGG